rnacentral:pre_miRNA from 1 species
GAGACACUCUUCUGGGGCAAGACUUGCUUCACUGGGGCUUUGGUGCUCACUGAGUCUGCCCCCUGAGUGUGUCCCU